rnacentral:misc_RNA from 1 species
UCUCGGCUUACACCGGCAGUCCUGCUAGAGUCCCCAUCAUAACAUGCUGGUAACUAACAGUAGGGGUUGCGCUCGUUAUGGGACUUAACCCGACACCUCACGGCACGAGCUGACGACAACCAUGCAGCACCUAGUUUCGUGCCCCGAAGGGAAAACCGCUUUCACGGUCGGUCACUAACUUUCAAGCCCGGGUAAGGUUCCUCGCGUAUCAUCGAAUUAAACCACAUGUUCCUCCGCUUGUGCGGGCCCCCGUCAAUUCCUUUGAGUUUCAUUCUUGCGAACGUACUCCCCAGGUGGAUAACUUAACGCUUUCGCUAAGUCACAGACUGUGUAUCGCCUGCAACGAGUUAUCAUCGUUUACGGCGUGGACUAC